AUUCUUUUAUUGGUAAAAUAACUGUANGGGUGAGGCCUUUCCAUUGCACUGCGGUUGGGCUGACCCCUGCGAUUAUCCCUAAUGUGGAUAACUCGGGCGCGUAAUUUUUGGUAGUCGGGACUGCGUACGCGCUGUCCCGG